rnacentral:sRNA from 1 species
GAUGCAAUCGGCCCGGAAAGGAGGAGAGCUAGGCGAGCGCGGACUGGGGCAGCCACGCCACUCCGCCUGAAGGUCGCCAGGAGCCUCCGCCCUUCACCUUCCUCGGAAAUCCGCCAGGCCACGCCAAGCUCCCUGCCCAGCCCUCACUGGCGGGGGCCACAUUUUCCCGGCCUCCGCAGCCAGACCUUGACACAAAGGACAUCAAACUGCCGAGGGUAAAAACCCCGGAAGGGCGGACACCUCCACAUCGCCUUUUGCCACCUUUCCCUUUAUUUCCGGAGCAAGUUUAUUUCUGAUCGUGAAAGUAGAAGAAGUCUCACAAACAGCCAUUUGGAAAAAAAGAAGUGUGAUGAGUAUAUUCCAGGUACAACCUCCUUAGGCAUGUCUGUUUUUAACCUAAGCAAUGCCAUUAUGGGCAGUGGGAUUUUGGGACUCGCCUUUGCCCUGGCAAACACUGGAAUCCUACUUUUUCUGGUACUUUUGACUUCAGUGACAUUGCUGUCUAUAUAUUCAAUAAACCUCCUAUUGAUCUGUUCAAAAGAAACAGGCUGCAUGGUGUAUGAAAAGCUGGGGGAACAAGUCUUUG